GAUGAACGCUGGCGGCGUGCCUAAUACAUGCAAGUCGAGCGAACAGAUGAGGAGCUUGCUCCUCUGACGUUAGCGGCGGACGGGUGAUUAACACGUGGAUAACCUACCUAUAAGACUGGGAUAACUUCGGGAAACCGGAGCUAAUACCGGAUAAUAUAUUGAACCGCAUGGUUCAAUAGUGAAAGACGGUUUUGCUGUCACUUAUAGAUGGAUCCGCGCCGCAUUAGCUAGUUGGUAAGGUAACGGCUUACCAAGGCAACGAUGCGUAGCCGACCUGAGAGGAUGAUCAGCCACACUGGAACUGAGACACGGUCCAGACUCCUACGGGAGGCAGCAGUAGGGAAUCUUCCGCAAUGGGCGAAAGCCUGACGGAGCAACGCCGCGUGAGUGAUGAAGGUCUUCGGAUCGUAAAACUCUGUUAUUAGGGAAGAACAAAUGUGUAAGUAACUAUGCACGUCUUGACGGUACCUAAUCAGAAAGCCACGGCUAACUACGUG
rnacentral:rRNA from 1 species